AGUGAACGCUGGCGGUAGGCCUAACACAUGCAAGUCGAACGGCAGCACAGUAAGAGCUUGCUCUUACGGGUGGCGAGUGGCGGACGGGUGAGGAAUACAUCGGAAUCUACUUUUUCGUGGGGGAUAACGUAGGGAAACUUACGCUAAUACCGCAUACGACCUACGGGUGAAAGAGGGGAUCUUCGGACCUUGCGCGAUUGAAUGAGCCGAUGUCGGAUUAGCUAGUUGGCGGGGUAAAGGCCCACCAAGGCGACGAUCCGUAGCUGGUCUGAGAGGAUGAUCAGCCACACUGGAACUGAGACACGGUCCAGACUCCUACGGGAGGCAGCAGUGGGGAAUAUUGGACAAUGGGCGCAAGCCUGAUCCAGCCAUACCGCGUGGGUGAAGAAGGCCUUCGGGUUGUAAAGCCCUUUUGUUGGGAAAGAAAAGCAGCAGGUUAAUACCCCGCUGUUCUGACGGUACCCAAAGAAUAAGCACCGGCUAACUUCGUG
rnacentral:rRNA from 1 species